rnacentral:rRNA from 1 species
AGCAGCCGCGGUAAUUCCAGCUCCAAUAGCGUAUAUUAAAGUUGUUGCAGUUAAAAAGCUCGUAGUUGAAUUUCGGGGUUCUACCGUUGGUCGGGCUUUGUCUGUACUGAUGUGUAGAAUUUCUACCUUCUGGGGAACCAUCAUGUUAUUAAUUUAGCGUGGUGGGAAACCAGGACCUUUACCUUGAAAAAAUUAGAGUGUUCAAAGCAGGCUUAUGUCUGAAUACAUUAGCAUGGAAUAAUAGAAUAGGACGGUGGUCCUGUUUUGUUGGUUUCUGAAUCACCGUAA